AAUAGGUGCGUGGUUCUCUGCACCUUGCACCCUUUCUUAGAGAGGCAAGCGGCUCCUAUAGCAGCUUGAAACAGAGCAGUGACAGGUCUGUGGUGCCCUCAGAUGUCCAAGGCCGCACGCGCGCUACACUGAAAGAUGUAACGUAUUUUUAUCCCUGUCUGCGAAGACAGUAAGCUUAGAAAAAGUGACUUGAGCAAAUACAGAGG
rnacentral:ncRNA from 1 species